UGCGUAGGCGGGUUUCUAAGUCAGAGGUGAAAGCCUGGAGCUCAACUCCAGAACUGCCUUUGAUACUGGAAGUCUUGAGUAUGGCAGAGGUGAGUGGAACUGCGAGUGUAGAGGUGAAAUUCGUAGAUAUUCGCAAGAACACCAGUGGCGAAGGCGGCCCACCUGGGCCCGAUUACUGACGCUGAGGCACGAAAGCGUGGGGAGCAAACA
rnacentral:rRNA from 1 species